AGGGCGUAUGGUGGAUGCCUUGGCACUAAGCGGCGAUGAAGGACGUGGUAAGCUGCGAUAAGCUUUGGGUAGGUGCAUACAACCGAUUAUCCAAAGAUUUCCGAAUGGGACAACCUGUUACCUUGAAGAGGUAUCACUCGAAAGAGAGCCAACCCGGAGAACUGAAACAUCUAAGUAACCGGAGGAAAAUAAAAUAACUAAUGAUUCCCCAAGUAGUGGCGAGCGAACAGGGAAGAGCCCAAACCAGUAGAGCGUGCUCUAUUGGGGUUGUAGGACUGCAUUUAGAAAGUGACAUCAAGCUGAAUGAUCUGGAAAGGUCAGCCGAAGAAGGUGAAAGCCCUGUAGGAGCAAAUUGUUAUGGACGAGCAGUAUCCUGAGUAGGGCGGGACCAGAGAAAUCCUGUCUGAAUCUGCCGGUACCAUCCGGUAAGGCUAAAUACGACUUAGUGACCGAUAGUGAACCAGUACCGUAAGGGAAAGGUGAAAAGUACUCCGAAUAGGAGAGUGAAAUAGUACCUGAAACCGUACGCCUACAAGCGGUCGGAGCCCGAGAGGGUGACGGCGUGCCUUUUGCAUAAUGAACCUACGAGUUGCUCCUCACUGGCGAGGUUAAGUUUAUCUUCAACGGAGCCGUAGCGAAAGCGAGUCCAAAUAGGGCGCAAUUAGUCAGUGGGGGCAGACGCGAAACUUUGUGAUCUACCCAUGGGCAGGUUGAAGGUGUGGUAACACACACUGGAGGACCGAACUCAUUAACGUUGAAAAGUUAUGAGAUGACCUGUGGGUAGGGGUGAAAGGCCAAUCAAACUGAGAGAUAGCUCGUUCUCCCCGAAAUGUUUUUAGGAACAGCGUCGCAUUAUAGAAGUUUAUGAGAGGUAGAGAUACUGAUUGGGCUAGGGGGCUUCACCGCCUACCAAACCCUGACAAACUCCGAAUGCUCAUAAAUAUCUGCGGCAGUGAGGCUGUGGGCGCUAAGGUCCAUGGCCGAGAGGGAAAUAACCCAGACUAUCCAUUAAGGCCCCUAAAUCUAUGUUAAGUUGAUCAAACGAAGUUCGGAUCCUAAGACAGCCAGGAUGUUGGCUUGGAAGCAGCCAUUCAUUUAAAGAGUGCGUAACAGCUCACUGGUCGAGGGUCCGGGCACGGAAAAUAAUCGGGCAUCAAACAUAGUGCCGAAAUGAUAGAUUGAUAUUUAGGUAUCAGUGGUAGGGGAGCAUUCUAAGCAGCAUUGAAGGUGUGGCGUAAGCCAUGUUGGAGCGCUUAGAAAAGAAAAUGUAGGUAUAAGUAACGAUAAAGGGGGUGAAAAACCCCCUCGCCGAAAGACUAAGGGUUCCUGAUCAAUGUUAAUCAGAUCAGGGUUAGUCGGGACCUUAGGCAAAGCCGAAAGGCGUAGUUGAUGGAAAGUCUGUUAAUAUUCAGACACGUACUUUAAAUUCGAUGGAGUGACAGGGAAGUGAAAGGACCGCGAUCUUACGGAAUAGAUCGUUAAAGGGUGUAGAUAAACGCUGUGUAGGUAAAUCCGCACGGAGUGUCGAACCUGAUAGUACAUGAAGGCUUCGGCCGGAAUGAUAGUGUCCCUAAUCAGGCCCGCGAGAAAAACUUCUAAGGCAUGUUUAAAGUACCCCGUACCGCAAACCGACACAGGUAGUCGAGAUGAGUAUUCUAAGGCGCUCGGGUGAGCCGCGGAGAAGGAACUAGGCAAAUUAACGCUGUAACUUCGGGAUAAAGCGUACCACAGUGAUGUGGUCUCAGUGAAAUGGUACAACCAACUGUUUAGCAAAAACACAGGGCCCUGCAAAUUCGAAAGAAGACGUAUAGAGCCUGAUACCUGCCCGGUGCUGGAAGGUUAAGGAAGCUUGUUCGGGUCAAACCAAAGCUUGUGACCGAAGCCCCAGUAAACGGCGGCCGUAACUAUAACGGUCCUAAGGUAGCGAAAUUCCUUGUCGGGUAAGUUCCGACCUGCACGAAUGGUCUAAUGAGUUGUACACUGUCUCCUCCGCGAGCCCGGUGAAAUUGUAGUAUCGGUGAAGAUGCCGGUUACCCGCCACGGGACGGAAAGACCCCGUGAACCUUCACUACAACUUUGCAUUGAUUUUGAGUAACAGAUGUGUAGCAUAGUUGGGAGACUACGAAGCAGAUACGCCAGUAUUUGUGGAGUCACCGUUGAAAUACCAACCUUCUGUUACUUAGAGUCUAAUCCGGGAGACUGGAGACAUUGCAUGGUGGGUAGUUUGACUGGGGUGGUCGCCUCCUAAAGAGUAACGGAGGCUCGCAAAGGUUCCCUCAGUACGGUUGGUAAUCGUACGUAGAGCGCAUUAGUAUAAGGGAGCUUGACUGUGAGAAUGACUAUUCAAGCAGGUGCGAAAGCAGGCUAAAGUGAUCCGGUGGUUCCGCAUGGAAGGGCCAUCGCUCAAAGGAUAAAAGGUACUCCGGGGAUAACAGGCUGAUCUCCCCCAAGAGCUCAUAUCGACGGGGAGGUUUGGCACCUCGAUGUCGGUUCGUCACAUCCUGGGGCUGGAGAAGGUCCCAAGGGUUGGGCUGUUCGCCCAUUAAAGUGGCACGUGAACUGGGUUCAGAACGUCGCAAGACAGUUCGGUCCCUAUCUGUGGUGGGCGUAAGUAAAUUGAAGGAGAUGUGACCUUAGUACGAGAGGACCGGGUCGCGUGGACCGCUGGUGUACCAGUUGUGCCGCCAGGUGCAAUGCUGGGUAGCUACGUCCAGACAGGAUAAGCGCUGAAAGCAUCUAAGCGCGAAGCCAGCUUCAAGAUGAGUUUACUUUU
rnacentral:rRNA from 1 species